rnacentral:lncRNA from 1 species
GGUGCCUUAAAGGGCCAGCGCCUGAGAACCAGCGCAGGUGGAGCACAUGGGAAUGGGCCACGCGGCCGGCAGGGCCGGCUGGCGCUCUUGGGUGUUCGCGCCGGACCCGGGAAGGAGUAGUUAGGAGCACCCUCGACUCCCAGCAGCUAAAGAGUGGUCCUGAUCCGCUCCGAAGACGCGCCGACACCGCCUCCUGUCCGGUGCCCAGAGGGCCUGGCCCCCUCCAGGCCCCGCCCGGGUGACCUUGGGCCUGCCGCCUCACCUCCCGGGCUGGGGUUCGAUUCCGGGCCAGCCGGGAAGGCGAGCCUGACCCUAGGCGGCAGCGGGCGCCCCCCAAGUGGGAACAGAAUUGCCUGUCGCCCUCACCCUGGCCACGAACCCGAGUGUCUGAGAAAUGUGAAUUUUGUUUUUUUCUAAAGAACUGCUUUGGACAGAGUGGAACCAACACGCCAUUGGGAUUCCCCGAAGACAGAUUUUUUGCCCCGGCCCUGCCCCUUCCCGGCUCUGCCACAGUCCGUUCUAUCUCCGUGGACCUCCUUUUCUCCUUUGUAAAGUGAGGGAGCCUGGUGUGACAGUGGUGUCAAACUUUUGGUGGACAUUUAAUUCAACAAAUAUUUGCUUACUUCGUGCUGUGGAGGCCUGCAAGGUUCUAGGAAACGGAUUUGUCAACAAGCCCAACUAACAAAUAUCUAUCCUUGUGGAAAGUACAUUCUAUCCUAAGGUGGGGAAGGAGACAAUAAACAACUGCUAAACAAAGCUUUGUCCAGUAUCUAGGAAAACAGUAAUUACUGCGGUAAUAAGUUAAAUCAGACCAGCUAUUUUCGCGUGAGUGAUAAGGGAAAAUUUCCUUGAACCGAGACCCCAAACUAUUAUGAAUCAGCCAGUCUGGGAUUGGACCCAGAAAUCUGCGAGUCUCACAAGACCCCUCCGUGUUCAUGCACAGCAGUACAACAGGGGGUCCCACAGGUCACUGGAGCAGUCCUGGCCUCUGACAGGCUGCGUGCGAUCCACCUGCUCAAGACCCAACGGCCUGGAAUGUUGGCCAUCUCCAAAGCAGGGGUUAGAUACCCGACCUGAUGGAUGGAGGGCCAGUUGACUGAAAGUGCUUGGAAUUGCACCAGCCAGCAAGAGUGGGCUGCAGAAUUGGAACCAGGAGCGCUGGGGAAAGUACUGAUGGAGAUAACUGGACCUUGAGAUGCAUCAUUAGGUUAUUUGUUUGGGCCCCUUCUGUUUUGCUGAUAUGCAUUCACUGUUGAAUUGCACAAGAACUUCAGGAAAGAUCUAACAUCAACACUCCUCAAACUCUUCAAUGAAAUCGAGAGGGAAGGAGUACUCCCAAAAUCAUUCCUAGAAGCUAUCAUCACCCUGAUCCCAAAACCAGACAAGGAAC